CUGGCUCAGAUUGAACGCUGGCGGCAGGCUUAACACAUGCAAGUCGAGCGGUAACAGGAGAAGCUUGCUUCUUGCUGACGAGCGGCGGACGGGUGAGUAAUACUUAGGAAUCUGCCCAGUAGUGGGGGAUAGCUCGGGGAAACUCGAAUUAAUACCGCAUACACCCUACGGGGAAAAGGGGGCGCUUGCGCUCUCGCUAUUGGAUGAGCCUAAGUCGGAUUAGCUAGUUGGUGGGGUAAAGGCCUACCAAGGCGACGAUCUGUAGCUGGUCUGAGAGGAUGAUCAGCCACACCGGGACUGAGACACGGCCCGGACUCCUACGGGAGGCAGCAGUGGGGAAUAUUGGACAAUGGGGGCAACCCUGAUCCAGCCAUGCCGCGUGUGUGAAGAAGGCCUUUUGGUUGUAAAGCACUUUAAGCAGUGAAGAAGACUCUAUGGUUAAUACCCAUAGACGAUGACAUUAGCUGCAGAAUAAGCACCGGCUAACUCUGUGCCAGCAGCCGCGGUAAUACAGAGGGUGCAAGCGUUAAUCGGAAUUACUGGGCGUAAAGCGAGCGUAGGUGGCUUAAUAAGUCAGAUGUGAAAUCCCCGGGCUUAACCUGGGAACUGCAUCUGAUACUGUUAGGCUAGAGUAGGUGAGAGGGAGGUAGAAUUUCAGGUGUAGCGGUGAAAUGCGUAGAGAUCUGAAGGAAUACCGAUGGCGAAGGCAGCCUCCUGGCAUCAUACUGACACUGAGGUUCGAAAGCGUGGGUAGCAAACAGGAUUAGAUACCCUGGUAGUCCACGCCGUAAACGAUGUCUACUAGUCGUUGGGGAACUUGAUUCCUUAGUGACGCAGCUAACGCAAUAAGUAGACCGCCUGGGGAGUACGGCCGCAAGGUUAAAACUCAAAUGAAUUGACGGGGGCCCGCACAAGCGGUGGAGCAUGUGGUUUAAUUCGAUGCAACGCGAAGAACCUUACCUGGUCUUGACAUAUCUAGAAUCCUGCAGAGAUGCGGGAGUGCCUUCGGGAAUUAGAAUACAGGUGCUGCAUGGCUGUCGUCAGCUCGUGUCGUGAGAUGUUGGGUUAAGUCCCGCAACGAGCGCAACCCUUUUCCUUAGUUACCAGCGGUUUGGCCGGGGACUCUAAGGAUACUGCCAGUGACAAACUGGAGGAAGGCGGGGACGACGUCAAGUCAUCAUGGCCCUUACGACCAGGGCUACACACGUGCUACAAUGGUAGGUACAGAGGGCUGCUACACAGCGAUGUGAUGCGAAUCUCAAAAAGCCUAUCGUAGUCCAGAUUGGAGUCUGCAACUCGACUCCAUGAAGUCGGAAUCGCUAGUAAUCGCGGAUCAGAAUGCCGCGGUGAAUACGUUCCCGGGCCUUGUACACACCGCCCGUCACACCAUGGGAGUUGAUUGCACCAGAAGUGGGUAGCCUAACUUUUAGAGGGCGCUCACCACGGUGUGGUCGAUGACUGGGGUGA
rnacentral:rRNA from 1 species